CAGGGUGCUGCAGGCGGUUGUGUGCCCGCCCCAUGGAGCCGGCGGUAUGGCGGAGCCGGGAGCAUGGCUCCCUGGGGUAAUCUGCAAAGUACAAGUUGUUAUUACUCACUACAGCAGAACAAUCAGCGCGGGCUCUGUAAUGCAGUAAGAUGGAUUGAAGCUGCUUAAGACCAGAGGAAAAUGGAAUCGCUGUCUUACAAAAAGAAGUUUAGCUCCCGCAAUCCACUGCUGAUGAGUGAUGAGACCUGAGCAAAAGCCCAGAUUUGAAAAUGGCUGGAUUUGGGGAGUGAGGCAGAAUUGUGCAACAGGAGCCAGAAUCAGCCCUGGAUCACAGCAUGCCACAGCCACACGCCAGAUCCAUCUUGUAAAGGAAUGGAAGAAGGGAAGGACUUGCAAAGUAGAAGUGGUACCAGAAGGGCUCCUAAAGCAUCCCAUGCCUGCUGGGUGCAUGGCCAGGGCAGAGCCAGGCCUGGUUGAGGACUGCUGCCGUGUCCUUCCUCCCCGCCAUGCCAGAGGUGAGCCUCAUCUCUCUCAGUUCCCCGGUGCUCAGUGCACUGGUUUUUACAGGCAGAAAGAAACUAAAAGCAAAGGGAUCUGGCCAAGGUGACUGAAGACGCAGUGGCAGACAACAGAUGAAGAUCUUCAUAGAAUCAUAGAAUGGCUUGGGUUGCAAGGGACCUUAAAAGAUCACUUAGUUCCAACCCUGCUGCCGUAUCAGGCUGCCUGGCAUCCCAUCCCACCUGGCCUUGAGUGCCUCCAGGGAGGGGCACCCACAGCUCCCUGGGCAGCAGCCCCAGCUCCCCCCACCUUUCUUCAUAGCAGAGGAGCUUCAGCCCUUUCAUCAUUUUUCUGGGCCUCCUCUGGAGCCGCUCCAGCAGCUCCACUUCCUCCAGUACCGGGGCCCCCGGCUUGGACUCAGGACACACCAUUUUCCUGGUUCCCGUCUCAGCUCCCCUAGGCUGUCUUUGCCAUGGACAGACGGACAGGCAACCAUGGACACUCUCUCAUUCUCUUUCUUCUUCCAUUGGCUCAUGAGUUCAAAUUCAAUAAAACAGUGGGAGAUUUGUUAGGAUUAAGGUCA
rnacentral:lncRNA from 1 species